rnacentral:rRNA from 1 species
UACAGAGGUCUCAAGCGUUUGUUCGGAUUCAUUGGGCGUAAAGGGUGCGUAGGUGGCGGGGGUAAGUCAGGUGUGAAAUCUCGAGGCUCAACCUCGAAACUGCACUUGAUACUGCCUUGCUCGAGUACUGGAGAGGAGAAUGGAAUUCCUGGUGUAGCGGUGAAAUGCGCAGAUAUCAGGAAGAACACCCGUGGCGAAGGCGGUUCUCUGGGGACGGUACUGACGCUGAGACGCGAAAGCGUGGGGAGGCGAACAGG